rnacentral:sRNA from 1 species
CACAUAUGCACAUAUACUCUGGUUCUUGGGGCCCUGAGUUCGGGAAGGAACACUGAUAAGUGUUGUAAAUGCCUUUCUCAUUCCUAACAGUCUCUCCUACCCAAUGCUGCCAAAGAUACAUCAAAAUCAGCGCAGGAAGGAAGAGUCAAAUCCACGAAGCCAGUUUUCUUCCCAGGACCCAGCUAUAGGUUUGUGGGAGGCCUAAAACCAUGCUCCAGUCUCACCUGUGGCCCCGUUGCCAGGAAGAAGGAACCUCAGAGAUGAGAACCUAAGCAUUCUCCUCUGAUAGAGAUGGGCUCUGCCCUUGUGUCGUUCAGCGAGGAGGAGGUCAUGACCUUGUGAAGGACGAAAAUGGAAGGACCGAUGAAUUGCAGUGGCUGGAACACGCGCUGAGCCACCCCUCUCCCUUAAGUGAACAUGUAUGAGCUUAGCCAUCCCUCUCCCUCAGGUUGAGCCUCUAACCUGCAGGUGUCGGAAUUAUAAGGCAAGGCUUUGGAAGUGAUUCAGUCAUGAGUGUGGAGCUCUUUGGAAGUGAUUAAGUCAUGAGUGUGGUAGCCCUUACCAAAUGAUCAGUACCCGUAUGGAAAAACACCCACGGAGAUCUUAGAGGGCUCCUUGUUCUGUGUGAUGUUACGAUGAGAAGGUACCUUCUGUGUCCUGGGAAGAAAGCCUUUGCCAAACUCUGAACUUCCUGGGCUUAUGACCGUCAGAAUUAUGAGAACAAAUACCUGUUGUCUGUAAGCCGCCUACUCUCUCGUGUUUUGUUAUAGCGACCUGGAUGGAACAACACUAGCUAUGUUGACACAAUGGGGAGGCGUGUUCUACCUCCCUUCUGAGGAGAUGACAGUGAGAAUUUCAGGGAAAGGGAAAAGGAGCUUAUACACACGACCCGAGGCUAUAAGGAAGGCCAAAGCAGUUCCAGGGGCUCUAGGAAGUCAAUAGUGCAGGAAGUAAGGGAGUGGGGGUGAGAAGUCAGGUCAGAGGUCAAGGUGUGUGUCAAGCUCAGGUCCCAGGUCUUAUGGGAAGUGCAGGGUGAAUGGCCCUCAGUCACGAGACGAGACAACGAGACAACGAGACAAUGGCUCUUCCUGUACAGGAGAUGGAGGAAGCUUGAGGUGGAAGAGGAGCCCUGGGGGGUUGGGGGUGGGGGAGAAGUUGGAACAAUGGUAGCAAAAAGGUAGCCGCCUGAGAGAUGGCUCACCUCUAUGUAAACGCCAGGGGCCUCUCAGCCACAAAAGCAUCUCCUGCAGGAGGACUUAACUGAGGACUACCUGAAAGACCAAGGAUUGCAGGUGCAGACGAUGCCAGCCAAUUGGGAGCUGCUGUUUAGAAGAGACGCUUUCUCGGGACCAAUGGGGGUGCAGGUGGAGGGUCUUAAAGGAGCUUGCAGCAGAGUUCGGAUGAGCUCGCUGCAGCCUUUCUCACCUGCUCCCAGAGUCUGUGUCAUUGACUCCAUGCCACCUCACUUCCAACCCCCAAGGGCAGGUAGGGUCACUCAGUGAGUAGUCCAGGGCUCAGGCAGCAAGGCUAAGUGUGAAGGACAUGGUCAGGGUCUGCAAAGGCCACCAGCUGUUUCUGUGCAGCCCAGUGUGUGCUGGACAGGAUGUCAGUGAGGUCCCAGUGACAGCACUGCUGGUUAACAGAGUCAGUCACUUCAAGCCACAGACAAAGCAAGAGGCAGGUAUGAAUGCACUUCUAACCACCUGAGUCAAGUGCCCCAGGGGGCUUGUGUGGCUACCUGGGAGUCUCUGCUUUGGAGCUCCAGGCUUCCAUUCCUCUGGCGACUGUCCGGGUCAGUGAGACAGGUCUGUGGGUUGAAAUCUCUGACACUAUUAGCUGUGCUUCAUUUAUCUAUUGCUAAUGCACAUAGCACGGUGUCCAGUAGAAACAGUGCUCGGUACACACUGCUUGAGCGACAGCUGUGACCAACAGAGGAGGAGGUGGUGGGGCUAGCUGGAGAGCCACUCAGCAUAGGCCAGUCUCUGGAGCAGGUCCCUGAAGCCAGACCACAACAGGACAGUACAUUUUGGCAGAAAGCACAAACUCAGCUUCCUAGAUUUUUUUUUCCUCUCUUUCAAUUUCCAUGACUAACUGUAAUGAACCAUGGUCGUGUUGAAUGCCUGGGGAAAGGGUGAGGUAAGCAGAAUCCAGUUUUGGUUGUCAUGGUCAACAUUUUUAUUCCUUUGGCUGGGUCUGGCUUUAUACGUAAUUAGGACAUUGGUUAACUACUGAUGGAUGAUUUAUAAAAUCGUAUAGAAAGCAUCGUUUGAAAGACAUUUAAAUGAAAAGAGUAAACAUGGAAGACUGAGGCUCAUAAGGGAGCUAACUGGAAUCUUCUUCAGGAUCCCCCAUUUCAGUAAUGGCGGACCCAUCUAGUUUGAGGCAGAAUCUGUGGGCCAUCCUUCUCCUCCCUCUUUAUCCCCUUGGUCCAGCCCUUUAUCAUAUUCUAUGGGUUCUGUCUAUUGCCUCUCAUCCUUUUUGGGACCCAAGAAGAUCCUGGUACCCGGACCACAGGGACUAAAAUGCCUUCAGAGGCUGAAGCACACACUGAGUGAGGGCCAGUGGCUCUCCCUAGAACAGCCCGAUGUCUAUCCUUGGGCAGUGGAAGACUGGGCUCUUCCAACUCCACAAAACAUAAACUCCCAAGUUUUGAGCUUCUGAAGGAGUCAGCACCAUGUUCUCCCAGUUCUGGAGCCCGAGACCCCCAAUGUAGUCACACUGAAAGUUGGUUGAAGUGGAAACUUAACUUUUUUUUUAGAAAGUUGGUUGGAUGGCGUUUUGUUGAGACAAACACAAACAUUUAGCCGAAGUGAACACAGGUGAAAGGCUAAGGCAGACUUGUGAAGGAACGUUUAACCGAAGCAGAUACAGGAGAAUGUAUGUUCUGCUAAAGCAAGCGUGUAAAAGGACACAUAAUGAAGGAUUGUUUGCUAGCAACAAUGUAUCGAUCUGCCUUACAUCACAUAGUUGAGGUCCAUUUGUUGGGACUCCAUAGAGAGAAAUGCACCAAAAAACUUCUGGCGGUGUGCUGUAGUUUCUUGCCACUUCUGAGGACUUGGGCUGAUUGGCAGAGUGAUAUCAGCUGAGACGGACAUGUGACAGACGUGCUGAGGUGAGACCCAUGGAGGACACGUGAUGCUUGGAAGGAGUAUAACCAGGACUCAAUGGACAGUGACAGAGGCCGAGCUUGGCUUGCUUACAUAACUCAACACUUGUUGAUCUCCAGUCUUUGCUGAUCUUUGCUUCACCAAGAGGGACACAGCCAAGAACUUUUCCUGGUGUUCCUUUUGGCCCUAGUCCCUCCUGCUGACUCGAGCUGAGGCUGAGGCCUGGCUGUCUCUGCUAGGUGGUGCCACUGCUGCUGAUUCAUGUUUGCUAUCCCGACACUACUGAACAGACUACUGGUGUAUCCGUGAAGUGUUUGCAAGUGGAUCGAGCUGCCGCUGCUGACCUGUGAACUGUUGAUUUCCUGACAUAGCUUCAGAAAGGAUUAAUGUAGGUCUUAAAGGAUUCUAGCUAGUCCUUGACAAGGAGUUGUCCAAAAGCAGAAAAAGAUCAGCCCCUUCUUGCUGUCUGUCUGUCUGUACAUCAGUCCAUCUAUCUGUCUGUCGGUCUUACAUUUGAUCAUUCCCUUUGAUUUGCCUGCCUGCCAUGAUGUGACAUAGCCAGGCAAGAGUCGGGGUGGGGGACACCCGACUUUGGACUUUCAGUUUACAAAACUGUGAUCCAGAUAAACUUCUUUAUGUAA